UGAUUGUUGUUAUUGAAUGUUAACAGAAGUUUUGGGUGGAAGAUAUUUUUUUUAAUGCUUUUUUUGGGUUGAUUGUUGUUGUUGCAUGUUGACAGAAGUUUUGGUUGGUGUAGAUUGAAGUGCUUUGACGUCAAAGAAAAUAAGACUCAUGGAUAAGGAUCUAAGGCCCUUUGCAAAUCAAUUGUCGAGGAAGCUUCUAGCCACGACUGAAAUUUUAUAUUUUGUGGUGCUUUUGUGGAAUGAACUUGCGAACAGUCCCUCCUUUCUCUCCUGCUCAUAUUUUUGAAACCCCAAAUUUAUAUAUUUUUCCUUUGGCUUUUUUCUGUUAAGGUUUUGUUCUCCUUAAUCAACUGAUUGUUUUGUUUCCAUUUCCUAUUACCGUAUUUUCGUGGAUCUAUCAAAUGGGUUUGUGGUUUGUUUUUAUUUUUGUAUAUUUGUUUAUUAUAUUGAUGGUUGGUUUGUUUGUUGCUUUUGUUAUUAAGGUUUUGUUUUCUUUCAUGAGAUGAUUGUUGUUAAGGUUUGUUUUAGCUUUUGCAGUUAAGGUUUGCUUUGGCUUUUUUUGUUAAGGUUUUGUUUUCUAUCUUGAUGUUUCUAUUUGUUUUGUAUCUUGAAUAUGUUUUAUAAUCCAAAAAAGCCUUUCCAUGUGAAUGUGUAUCUAAUGUUUUUCCUUUCUUUGUCCUUAUGAAACCUUAGGGAGCAUAAUCCUUGAUCUGCGUGUUUGGAGUUGCUGAAGGCAAGCAGGCAAGAAUAGGAGAUCCCUUCAUGAAAAAAUUGUUUUUUCCCGCACGAAGGCAAUUGAUGAGGAGCAAAAUGAAGUUAUCUCUCUGUGCGUCUAAUGAUUUGGCUUCAAGAAAAGGUUAUCUUGAAGAAAAUUUAAAACUUGCUAAUGAUUUGAAAGUGCACAUGUAUUGACGGGGUUAUAUUUAAAUACAGAAGAUUUUAUGGUCUUAUGUUCUAUCUAUUCUGAGGUGAUGAUGAUGGAUGAGCAAAUUUACAUUUACUGGUAGAACAUCCAAUCAUGCAUUGAGCGUGAUGUACUAUAAGAGAUAUUUGACACUGCUAGGUGGCCACAAAAGCAAAGGCUUUUUAUCUUCAUCUUCUAUGGCUGUUUCAUGUUUCAUAAUUUUUCUACCAUAUAUUAUGUACAUAUAUGCUUUAUGGAUGCUGUGGAAAUGAAAUGACCCUUGCUCUCAAAGGUUUUGUUAGAUUAUAAAUUUACACUGAUAGAGCAGUUUGUGUUAAUGAU